GAUGAACGCUAGCUACAGGCUUAACACAUGCAAGUCGGAGGGGUAACAUUGGCGGAGCUUGCUCAGCCAGAUGACGACCGGCGCACGGGUGAGUAACGCGUAUCCAACCUGCCCAUGGGUCAGGGAUAACCUUCCGAAAGGGAGCCUAAUACCUGAUGUUCUGCGACGAUGGCAUCAGAAUUGCAGCAAAGAUUCAUCGGUCAUGGAUGGGGAUGCGUGGGAUUAGGUAGACGGCGGGGUAACGGCCCACCGUGCCAUCGAUCCUUAGGGGUUCUGAGAGGAAGGUCCCCCACACUGGUACUGAGACACGGACCAGACUCC
rnacentral:rRNA from 1 species